rnacentral:rRNA from 1 species
UACGGAGGGUGCAAGCGUUGCUCGGAAUUACUGGGCGUAAAGGGCGUGUAGGCGGUUUCGUAUGUCUGGCGUGAAAGCCCCGGGCUCACCUCGGGAAGUGCGUCGGAAACUGCGAGACUAGAGUCCCGGAGAGGGAGGUGGAAUUCCAGGUGUAGCGGUGAAGUGCGUAGAUAUCUGGAAGAACACCGGUGGCGAAGGCGGCCAUCUGGCCCACAUUUGACGCUGAGGCGCGAAAGCGUGGGGAGCAAACAGG